ACUCCUACGGGAGGCAGCAGUGAGGAAUAUUGGUCAAUGGGCGGAAGCCUGAACCAGCCAUCCCGCGUGAAGGAAGAAGGCCCUACGGGUUGUAAACUUCUUUUCUGUUUGAAGAAUAAGCCCGUCGUGACGGGUGAUGCCGGUAGGACAGGAAUAAGCAUCGGCUAACUCCGUGCCAGCAGCCGCGGUAAUACGGAGGAUGCAAGCGUUAUCCGGAUUUAUUGGGUUUAAAGGGUGCGCAGGUGGUUGAAUAAGUCAGUGGUGAAAGUCUGUCGCUUAACGGUAGGAUUGCCAUUGAUACUGUUUAACUUGAAUAUGGAUGAGGUAGGCGGAAUGUGUAGUGUAGCGGUGAAAUGCAUAGAUAUUACACAGAACACCAAUUGCGAAGGCAGCUUACUGAGCUAUAACUGACGCUGAUGCACGAAAGCGUGGGGAGCGAACAGGAUUAGAUACCCUGGUAGUC
rnacentral:rRNA from 1 species